ACAAGAAGUCUUCACGCACCUCUCCAGCCUUCAUCCAAAAGACACUGCCAAAUGCUUUACAAGUAGUACAGAGAAAGAGAAAUUGUUUCUGGCACCUAUUGCAGUAGUCAGCACUGAGCAUCCUGCUUACCCAGCUCACAAAGCACAGAGCCUUAUUUUGUUAGGAUGUACAAAUGCUUCUGCUAUCAAACAAGCAAAAGGACAGCCAGCCCACCUAACCUGCUACCAGCUAGCCACCAAGUUUAGGAGAAUGAGCAAUGCCUCCACUGGGGACUUCCCUGGCAGAUCCACGUCUGAACAGCCAGGGCUGGCUUCCAAGAACAUUAAAUUCCAGCUGCUUUUCCAUCCAAGGCAAGAUAGGUUAUGCAUAUUUGGUGCCUGGCUUAACGCUGCAAGGGACAUAAUUUUCAGUGGUAUAAUGGACCGCUUGAGCCUCUCUUGUCAACUGGGAGUUUGAGUAUGCAGCGCGUUUGGAAAUGCAGCCCAUCCUUACCCAGCAACUGGCAAGGGAGAAAUCCAGACCUGCCAGUCGCUAUUUCAGCCUGUGACUUCUGCUCGCCUUUGUCCCAUCCAAGCGCGGUAAGGCAGAGCUUGUGUGCUCUUCUGGAGUUGGCUCCGCGUCUGCAGCUGCACGUUGAAAGAGUCUAUGAGAUCAUUCAAGUACGGAGACUUGGCAGCCUCCAUGUACGUACAAAGACGGCUGUUUGAAUUUCAGACUAAGUGUCGUUCUGGCUAAGGAUGAAUUAUUUGGUGUGUUACAUGAGGAUUUGCUGCUUUAUCUGGCCUGAAUAAGGUGAACCCUGAGGCUGAGGGGAAGGGAGGAGAACAGAGGGCCCAGGAGAAUGGGCGAAGCUGGCAAAGGCUAGACUGAAUGUCUGCAUAGUUAGCAAAGGACGUGGCCUGGAAAGGGAGACCUCGGUGUCAUGGAGGGCCCUUGCCUGAAUGUGAUGCCUAUAGGCCAUAUUUUAAAACAAAACACUAACACAUUCAGCCUUCCUUGCUUUUGCUCCAAAUCACUGCAGCCGUGAGCUCCACCAGUGCAGACCUCCCUCACGAAAGCCACGGUGAUGUCACGUCCAGCAGCACAGGAGGGGAUCAGAGCGUGCUCCUACCCAUUCAGCACAGCCCCGAGAGCUAAAGCUUUGGUCGUGGGCUCAUUUGGAAGCUUUGUGCUUUAUUCCUCUUUGUGUUUAUGGAGCAUCAGUGGAUUAACAACAGAGAAAGACAAAAGCAGUAACAUUUGACCUCCAGACAUGGCGCUGUCUUCUUUUCCUUCCUUGUUGUCCUCAUCUUUUCACAGUAAAGAAGCAGAGU
rnacentral:lncRNA from 7 species